UAUCUGGUUGAUCCUGCCAGUAGUCAUAUGCUUGUCUCAAAGAUUAAGCCAUGCAUGUCUAAGUAUAAGCACUCGUACUGUGAAACUGCGAAUGGCUCAUUAAAUCAGUUAUCGUUUAUUUGAUUGUACCUUUACUACUUGGAUAACCGUGGUAAUUCUAGAGCUAAUACAUGCGAAAAGUCCCGACUUCUGGAAGGGAUGUAUUUAUUAGAUUCAAAACCAAUGCGGGUUCUGCCCGGUCGUUUGGUGAUUCAUAGUAACUGUUCGAAUCGCAGGGCCUCGCGCCGGCGAUGUUUCAUUCAAAUUUCUGCCCUAUCAACUGUCGAUGGUAAGGUAUUGGCUUACCAUGGUUACAACGG
rnacentral:ncRNA from 1 species